CCUACGGGAGGCAGCAGUAGGGAAUUUUCGUCAAUGGGCGCAAGCCUGAACGAGCAAUGCCGCGUGAGUGAAGAAGGCCUUCGGGUCGUAAAGCUCUGUUGCGGGGGAAAAAAGGCAGCAACAGGAAAUGGGUGCUGACUGAUGGUGCCCCGCCAGAAAGUCACGGCUAACUACGUGCCAGCAGCCGCGGUAAUACGUAGGUGGCGAGCGUUAUCCGGAAGGAUUGGGCGUAAAGGGUGCGCAGGCGGUCCUGCAAGUCUGGAGUGAAACGCAUGAGCUCAACUCAUGCAUGGCUUUGGAAACUGGAGGACUGGAGAGCAGGAGAGGGCGGUGGAACUCCAUGUGUAGCGGUAAAAUGCGUAGAUAUAUGGAAGAACACCAGUGGCGAAGGCGGCCGCCUGGCCUGUUGCUGACGCUGAGGCACGAAAGCGUGGGGAGCAAAUAGGAUUAGAUACCCUUGUAGUC
rnacentral:rRNA from 1 species